CUCUCAUUUUCUUUUCUCUUCCCUUCUUUUUAAAGCACUUUUCCAUAUGUCCCACUCCCAGCAAGGCUGUGCUACCUUUUAACCUCAGGCUAUGCUGCCCUUCUGGUGGAAGGGCUGAAAUUCGGUCCCCUCCAAUUAAUAAGCCAAGUCACACAGCCACUGAAGGACAAGCAGGUGCCUACCAUGGCCUAAGUUCAAAACGGAGUGCGCAGUGGUCCCAGCUGCAUGGUGUUCAAAAAAAGCAGCCUGUGUUUUACAGAUACAUCUCUUCACCCACCCUAGUGAUUUUCUCCAUGGUUUUACCCUCAAGUAGCACCAAUCAUUUAAAAAUUUCAUCUUUUCUAUAUAUAUAUAUACACAUCUUCUAAUAUUUUUAAUAUAUAUAUAUAUACACACAGAGACAUAUGUGGCAUUGGUACGUUCACUGCAGGAGAAACUUAUUUACAAUUAAUUGGAAAAAGUAAGUUUUAUCAAGUUACAGUAUACCAAAACAGAAUCGGCAUUUGUGCUUUCUGUUUGUACAGGAGUAAUUUUUGUCAUUUCAAAAAAGUGUAUAUUUUUUACUUGCCUCAAGACAUGUCACGUGAUGAAAAAAGUUAGAAAACAGCUAGCAUUGAGAAUUACGGAACAUCAGCUUUUCUCAUAUGUCUACACAAUAGCCGCUUCCUAUGAAAUUCUCCAGUCAAACAUCUAUGUGGUUACCCAAGUUUGCUUGAGGAUCUUCUUAAUAAAUAACAACACACAGCAGAAGAACCAUGUAUCCCACCUUGCACGGUGCACAUUCACGAGAUAAAAGCUUUGGCCUUCACUGAGUAACAUGUUAAUAAAACAGCACUUAAACUUCACUUACUCAGGACCUCAAAGUGCUUUUAAAAAGAAGGAAAUACCCCCACUCUACAUGGUAGUUAAGAGGCACAAGGAAUAAGGCUUGAAUUACUGUCUUCAGACACUGAGCAGGCCAAGGGCUCAAACUCCAGAUUCUCUCCAAUCUGUUUACUGGGUCGGAGAAUCCCAUUUUCUCAGGUAAUCUCUACUCUUGGAUGUAGAUGCUUGUUUAUAAUCCAUAACAUCAACAAAAAAAUCCAGCAG
rnacentral:lncRNA from 1 species